UACGGAGGAUGCAAGCGUUAUCCGGAUUUAUUGGGUUUAAAGGGUGCGUAGGCGGACUAUUAAGUCAGUGGUGAAAGCCUGCAGCUUAACUGCAGAACUGCCAUUGAUACUGAUAGUCUUGAGUUUGGUUAAGGUAGGCGGAAUGUGUAAUGUAGCGGUGAAAUGCUUAGAUAUUACACAGAACACCAAUUGCGUAGGCAGCUUACUGAGCCGACACUGACGCUGAGGCACGAAAGCGUGGGGAGUCGAACAGGAUUA
rnacentral:rRNA from 1 species